UCCCGGGCCUUGUACACACCGCCCGUCACACCACGAGAGUUUGUAACACCCGAAGUCGGUGGGGUAACCGUAAGGAGCCAGCCGCCUAAGGUGGGACAGAUGAUUGGGGUGAAGUCGUAACAAGGUAGCCGUAUCGGAAGGUGCGGCUGGAUCACCUCCUUU
rnacentral:ncRNA from 1 species